rfam:Sus scrofa chromosome 2.
UAAGUGAAGCAAGGAAAACAGCGGUUAGUUUGCAAGGAAGGAAAACCCUAAGGAAACGCUCAGAUUCCUGACGCCGAGUCUGGAGGGUAGAGAAUGAGGAAGGUUUAGAU